rnacentral:rRNA from 1 species
CAGCAGCCGCGGUAAUACGGAGGGAGCUAGCGUUGUUCGGAAUCACUGGGCGUAAAGCGCACGUAGGCGGCUAUUCAAGUCAGGGGUGAAAGCCCGGGGCUCAACCCCGGACUGCCUUUGAAACUAGAUAGCUUGAAUCUUGGAGAGGCGAGUGGAAUUCCGAGUGUAGAGAUGAAAUUCGUAGAUAUUCGGAAGAACACCAGUGGCGAAGGCGACUCGCUGGACAAGUAUUGACGCUGAGGUGCGAAAGCGUGGGGAGCAAACAGGAUUAGAUACCCGAGUAGUCCCUGUCUCUUAUACA